rnacentral:rRNA from 1 species
UACGUAUGGUGCAAGCGUUAUCCGGAUUUACUGGGUGUAAAGGGAGCGCAGGCAGUACGGCAAGUCUGAUGUGAAAGCCCGGGGCUCAACCCCGGUACUGCAUUGGAAACUGUCGGACUAGAGUGUCGGAGGGGUAAGCGGAAUUCCUAGUGUAGCGGUGAAAUGCGUAGAUAUUAGGAGGAACACCAGUGGCGAAGGCGGCUUACUGGACGAUUACUGACGCUGAGGCUCGAAAGCGUGGGGAGCAAACAGG